AGCAGUGUGGUGUAUUGGGCGCACUGGAUUUUGUUAGCCAUCAUUCGAUAUCAAUGAUUAAUCCCGAGGUCCUUGUUCGAAUCAAGGUGCUGCUC